GACGAACGCUGGCGGCGUGCUUAACACAUGCAAGUCGAACGGAAAGGCCCCUUUGGGGGUACUCGAGUGGCGGACGGGCGAGUAACUAGUGAGUAACCUGCCCUUGACUUCGGGUGAACUUACGGCAACUGGGGGUAAUACAGGAUAGGAAUCAUUGCUGGAUGGAGGGGGUUGGAAAGCUUCGGUCGUUUUGGGUGGACUCGCGGCUUAACUGUUUGGUGGUGGGGGAGUGGGUUACCAAGGCUUUGACGGGUAGCCGGCCUGAGAGGGGGAGCGGCCAAAAUGGGACCUGGGAUCGGCCCAGACUCCCACGGGGGGCAGGAGGUGGGAAUAAUGCACAAUGGGCGGGAGCCUGAUGCAGCAACGCCGCGUGCGGGAUUACGGCCUUCGGGUUGGAAACCGCGUUCAGCAGGGGCGGAGCUUGUGGUGACGGUACCUGCAGAAGAAGCACCGGCUAACUACGUG
rnacentral:rRNA from 1 species